rnacentral:rRNA from 1 species
CCCAGACUCCUACGGGAGGCAGCAGUGGGGGAUAUUGCACAAUGGGGGGAACCCUGAUGCAGCGACGCCGCGUGGGUGAAGGAGCGUUUCGGCGCGUAAAGCCCUCUCGGCAGGGAAGAAGGAGGACGGUACCUGACUAAGAAGCCCCGGCUAACUACGUGCCAGCAGCCGCGGUAAUGCGUAGGGGGCAAGCGUUAUCCGGAUUUACUGGGUGUAAAGGGGGCGCAGACGGCAGCGCAAGCCAGGAGUGAAAGCCCGGGGCCCAACCCCGGGACUGCUCUUGGAACUGCGCGGCUGGAGUGCAGGAGGGGCAGGCGGAAUUCCUGGUGUAGCGGUGAAAUGCGUAGAUAUCAGGAGGAACACCGGUGGCGAAGGCAGCCUGCUGGACUGCGACUGACGUUGAGGCCCGAAAGCGUGGGGAGCAAACAGGAUUAGAUACCCGCGUAAU